GCCGAGGUGGCUUAGGCUGGUUAUAGCGCUCGGCUCAUACGGAUAUUCCUAAGGGGUUUAAUCCCCUUGGGUCCUGGGAAACCGAGAGGCCGGGGGUUCGAGUCCCCCCCUCGGCA
rnacentral:tRNA from 1 species